rnacentral:rRNA from 1 species
UGAAUACGAGGCACUAAGGUGCUGAAGUAGUGUAUGUCAUACUUCCAAGAAAAGCUUGCACUAUCGUAAGAUAAAAAUGCCUGUACCAUAACCGACACAGGUGGGUAGGUAGAGUAUACUAAGGGGCGCGAGAUAACUCUCUCUAAGGAACUCGGCAAAAUAACUCCGUAACUUCGGGAGAAGGAGUGCCUUAUUCUAUAAGGUUGCAAUAACAAGAUCCAAGCAACUGUUUAUCAAAAGCACAGGUCUCCGCUAAGUCGUAAGACGAUGUAUGGGGGCUGACGCCUGCCCAGUGCCAGAAGGUUAAAGAAGUCGGUUAGCAAUUGCGAAGCUGGUAACUGAAGCCCUGGUGAACGGCGGCCGUAACAAUAACGGUCCUAAGGUAGCGAAAUUCCUUGUCGGGUAAGUUCCGACCCGCACGAAAGGCGUAAUGAUUUGGAUACUGUCUCGGAGAGGGACUCGGUGAAAUAGACUUGUCUGUGAAGAUGCGGACUACCUGCACCAGGACAGAAAGACCCUAUGAAGCUUUACUGUAACUUGAAAUUGAAAUUGGACUUUAUUCGCGCAGUAUAGGUGGGAGGCGUUGAUUAUAAUCUUGUGGGAUUAUUGGAGCCAUUAGUGAGAUACCACUCUUGUAAUGUUAGAUUUCUAACUUUGAAUCAUGAUCUGGUCAAAGAACAGUUUCAGGCGGGCAGUUUGACUGGGGCGGUCGCCUCCUAAAUGGUAACGGAGGCGUACAAAGGUUUCCUCUGAACGGGUAGAAAUCGUAUCUAGAGUGUAAAGGCAUAAGGAAGCUUGACUGUGAGACCUACAAGUCGAGCAGGGACGAAAGUCGGUCUUAGUGAUCUGACGGUACUGAGUGGAAAGGCCGUCACUCAACGGAUAAAAGUUACUCUAAGGAUAACAGGCUGAUCUCCCCCAAGAGUUCACAUCGACGGGGAGGUUUGGCACCUCGAUGUCGGCUCAUCGCAUCCUGGGGUGGUAGUACGUCCCAAGGGUUGGGCUGUUCGCCCAUGAAAGCGGUACGCGAGCUGGGUUCAGAACGUCGUGAGACAGUUCGGUCCAUAUCCGGUGUAGGCGUUAGAAUAUUGAGAGGAGCCUUCUUUAGUACGAGAGGACCGAGAAGGACAUACCUCUGGUGUACCAGUUAUCGUGCCAACGGUAAACGCUGGGUAGCUAUGUAUGGAGUGGAUAACCGCUGAAAGCAUCUAAGUGGGAAGCCCACCUCAAGAUAAG